rnacentral:rRNA from 1 species
CUAGUUGGGCGAUCAUAAGAGUAGCUGGGUAUAUCCUAAUUCAGAAAAUUUGGGGAAAAUUUUUUUACUCUGAAUAUUUAUUUAAUAUAUAAAUUUUAUAUAAAAUUAAGAUUUUAGCGCGGCCUUAGGUUGCGUACGAUUUCUUAACACGAAUUUGUGUAUAAGUGGAUAAGAUAUUACUUAUCCCUAUAUAUAUUUAAUCACUAUCUUUUUAUUUAAAGUAAAAUUUAAUUUUAAGCAAGUAAGAUUUUAACUAUAUCGAUGAUAGGUGUAAUAAAUAAAAUUAACAUUUUUAGUCUUCUGCGUACUCGUUCC